GGAAUCCCCGUAUUCAAUCUUUCGAGAAAGAACGUGGGGAGGAGAGUGGCGAAAGGGUGAGUAACGCGUGGGCAACCUGUCUCCGAGUUGGGGAUAACUCCCCGAAAGGGGUGCUAAUACCGAAUAUGGUCUUUCGGGCGCAAGUCGGUAAGAUCAAAGGUGGGGAUCCUUCGGGACCUACCGCUGGGAGAGGGGCCCGCGUCCCAUCAGCUUGUUGGUGAGGUAACGGCCCACCAAGGCAUACGGGUAGCUGGUCUGAGAGGAUGGUCAGCCACACUGGGACUGAGACACUGCCCAGACUCCUACGGGAGGCUGCAGUCGAGGAUCAUUCGCAAUGCGCGAAAGCGUGACGAUGCGACGCUGCGUGGAGGAUGACGGCCUUCGGGUUGUAAACUCCUGUCAUCCGGGAAAAAUUGUCCCGGCGCAAAUAGUGCCGGGAUUUGAUGGUACCGGAGAAGGAAGCCACGGCUAACUCUGUGCCAGCAGCCGCGGUAAUACAGAGGUGGCGAGCGUUGUUCGGAUUUACUGGGCGUAAAGCGUGCGUAGGCGGCAUCGUAUGUCGGAUGUGAAAUCCCAUGGCUCAACUGUGGAAUGGCAUCCGAAACUACGGAGCUUGAGUGCAGGAGGGGAGAGUGGAAUUCCUGGUGUAGCGGUGAAAUGCGUUGAUAUCAGGAGGAACACCGGUGGCGAAGGCGACUCUCUGGAAUGUUACUGACGCUGAGGCACGAGAGCGUGGGGGAGCAAACAGGAUUAGAUACCCUGGUAGUCCACGCCGUAACGUUGCGCACUUGGUGUUGGAGG
rnacentral:rRNA from 1 species